rnacentral:lncRNA from 1 species
GGGGCAACUGUUUUUUGUAUAUUUGGAACUCCUUUUUGUUUAUUAUCAAUUUUAGACCUCUCAAAUAUUGAUGGUCUUCUUCCACUAACCCUUUUUAUAGCCAUUAUUUUAAUUUUGAUUUUUGGGGUGGAAGCAGUUGCUUCUUAAGUAGGCAUCAUGAUAGUAGAAAAAGGCAUCUCUUGAAUAUCUUCCUGAGUGAUAGCAAUACUAGCU